GGAGGGGGGCUACCUGCANGUCGACGGGAACUUUCGGGUUCAGUGGCGGACGGGUGAGUAACACGUGAGAAUCUGCCCAUAGGACGGGGACAACAUCGGGAAACUGGUGCUAAUACCGGAUGAGCCGAGAGGUAAAACAUUUAUGACCUAUGGAGGAGCUCGCGGCUGAUUAGCUAGUUGGUGGGGUAAGAGCCUACCAAGGCAUUGAUCAGUAGCUGGUCUGAGAGGAUGAUCAGCCACACUGGGACUGAGACACGGCCCAGACUCCUACGGGAGGCAGCAGUGGGGAAUUUUCCGCAAUGGGGGGAACCCUGACGGAGCAACGCCGCGUGAGGGAAGUAUGGUUGUGGCCAGUAAACCUCUUUUAAUAGGGAAGAAUUGAUGACGGUACCUAUUGAAUAAGCAUCGGCUAACUCCGUGCCAGCAGCCGCGGUAAUACGGAGGAUGCAAGCGUUAUCCGGAAUUAUUGGGCGUAAAGGGUCCGCAGGUGGUUAGUCAAGUCAGCUGUUAAAAACUCAGGCUUAACUUGGGGAGUGCAGUUGAAACUGAUUGACUAGAGUACGGAAGGGGUAGAGGGAAUUCCUAGUGUAGCGGUGAAAUGCGUAGAUAUUAGGAAGAACACCAGUGGCGAAGGCGCUCUACUGGACCUGUACUGACACUGAGGGACGAAAGCUAGGGGAGCGAAAGGGAUUAGAUACCCCUGUAGUCCUAGCUGUAAACGAUGGAUACUAGGUGUUGGACGUAUCGACCCGUUCAGUAUCGUAGCUAACGCGUUAAGUAUCCCGCCUGGGGAGUACGCACGCAAGUGCGAAACUCAAAGGAAUUGACGGGGGCCCGCACAAGCGG
rnacentral:rRNA from 1 species